AGCGCAGGCUGUUUGUCAAGUCAGAUGUGAAAGCCCACGGCUCAACCGUGGAAGUGCAUUUGAAACUGGCAGACUUGAGUAUCAGAGGGGAAAGUGGAAUUCCCGGUGUAGAGGUGAAAUUCGUAGAUAUCGGGAGGAAUACCGGUGGCGAAGGCGACUUUCUGGCUGAAUACUGACGCUGAGGCUAGAAAGCGUGGGGAGCAAACAGGAUUAGAUACCCUGGUAGUCC
rnacentral:rRNA from 1 species